rnacentral:rRNA from 1 species
CAGUCGCCGCGGGAAUACGUAGGUGGCAAGCGUUGUCCGGAAUUAUUGGGCGUAAGGCGCGCGCAGGCGGACAUAUAAGUCCAUCUUAAAAGUGCGGGGCUCAACCCCGUGAGGGGAUGGAAACUGUAUGCCUUGAGUGCAGGAGAGGAAAGCGGAAUUCCCAGUGCAGCGGUGAAAUGCGUAGAUAUAUGGAGGAACACCGGUGGCGAAAGCGGCCCUCUGGCUUGUAACUGACGCUGAGGCUCGAAAGCGUGGGGAGCAAACAGGAUUAGAUACCCCCGUAGUCCCUGUCUCUUAUACA